AACGAACGCUGGCGGCAUGCCUAACACAUGCAAGUCGAACGAGACCUUCGGGUCUAGUGGCGCACGGGUGCGUAACGCGUGGGAACCUGCCCUUAGGUUCGGAAUAACUCCCCGAAAGGGGUGCUAAUACCGGAUAAUGUCUUCGGACCAAAGAUUUAUCGCUUUUGGAUGGGCCCGCGUUGGAUUAGCUAGUUGGUAGGGUAAAAGCCUACCAAGGCGACGAUCCAUAGCUGGUCUGUGAGGAUGAUCAGCCACACUGGGAAUGAGACACGGCCCAGACUCCGACGCGAGGGAGCAGUGGGGAAUAUUAGACAAUGGGCGAAAGCCUGAUCCAGCAAUGCCGCGUGAGUGAUGAAGGCCUUAGGGUUGUGAAGCUCUUUUACCCGGGAUGAUAAUGACAGUACCGGGAGAAUAAGCUCCGGCUAACUCCGUG
rnacentral:rRNA from 1 species